AACGAACGCUGGCGGCAGGCCUAACACAUGCAAGUCGAGCGAACCCUUCGGGGUUAGCGGCGGACGGGUUAGUAACGCGUGGGAAUAUACCCUUUGGUACGGAAUAGCCUCGGGAAACUGAGAGUAAUACCGUAUGUGCCCUUCGGGGGAAAGAUUUAUCGCCAAAGGAUUAGCCCGCGUUGGAUUAGAUAGUUGGUGGGGUAAUGGCCUACCAAGUCUACGAUCCAUAGCUGGUUUGAGAGGAUGAUCAGCAACACUGGGACUGAGACACGGCCCAGACUCCUACGGGAGGCAGCAGUGGGGAAUCUUAGACAAUGGGCGCAAGCCUGAUCUAGCCAUGCCGCGUGGACGAUGAAGGCCUUAGGGUUGUAAAGUCCUUUCAGAUGGGAAGAUAAUGACGGUACCAUCAGAAGAAGCCCCGGCUAACUCCGUGCCAGCAGCCGCGGUAAUGUACAGUGU
rnacentral:rRNA from 1 species